rnacentral:lncRNA from 1 species
UUUGUCUUCCUCAGCAUACUGUGCUCCUUAGCCAAUUUGUCAUGUGCUUUGCUGUGGUCCCCAACUGCUUUGGCUAAUUUACCGUUCUCCUCUAUCAUCUUUUCCUGGUUGUCUAUGAUCUUCUUCAGAGUAUCCACAACGGAAGCGGGAAUCUCAAUAGUAACCGGUGCUCCUGUGCCUGUUCAGUAGUGGUCAAUGUGGACAGAUUGGAUGUCCCAGCUGACAUUUAGUUAUUCAAAU